AGCGGCAAGAGCUCAAAUUUGAAAUCUGACCCUUCGGGGUCCGAGUUGUAAUCUGCAGAGGAUGCUUCGGGUUCGGCCCCGGUCUAAGUCCCCUGGAACGGGGCGUCAUGCAGGGUGAGAAUCCCGUCCGGGACCGCCGGCCGGACCCGUGUGAAGCUCCUUCGACGAGUCGAGUUGUUUGGGAAUGCAGCUCCAAAUGGGUGGUAAAUUUCAUCUAAAGCUAAAUAUUGGCCGGAGACCGAUAGCGCACAAGUAGAGUGAUCGAAAGAUGAAAAGCACUUUGAAAAGAGAGUUAAACAGCAUGUGAAAUUGUUGAAAGGGAAGCGCUUGCGACCAGACUCGCUCGCGGGGGCUCAGCCGGCAUUCUUGCCGGUGCACUCCCCCGCGGUCGGGCCAGCGUCGGUUUGGGCGGUCGGUCAAAGGUCCCCGGAAUGUGUCGCCCUUCGGGGCGUCUUAUAGCCGGGGGCGCAAUGCGGCCUGCCCGGACCGAGGAA
rnacentral:misc_RNA from 1 species